GAUGAAAGCUGGCGGCGUGCUUAACACAUGCAAGUCGAACGGAAAGGCUCCUGCUUGCAGGGGUACUCGAGUGGCGAACGGGUGAGUAACACGUGGGUGAUCUGCCCAGCACUUCGGGAUAAGCCUGGGAAACUGGGUCUAAUACCGGAUAGGACGAUGGUUUGGAUGCCAUUGUGGAAAGUUUUUUCGGUGUGGGAUGAGCUCGCGGCCUAUCAGCUUGUUGGUGGGGUAAUGGCCUACCAAGGCGUCGACGGGUAGCCGGCCUGAGAGGGUGUACGGCCACAUUGGGACUGAGAUACGGCCCAGACUCCUACGGGAGGCAGCAGUGGGGAAUAUUGCACAAUGGGCGCAAGCCUGAUGCAGCGACGCCGCGUGGGGGAUGACGGCCUUCGGGUUGUAAACUCCUUUCGCUAGGGACGAAGCGCAAGUGACGGUACCUGGAGAAGAAGCACCGGCUAACUACGUG
rnacentral:rRNA from 1 species